rnacentral:rRNA from 1 species
AGAGUUUGAUCCUGGCUCAGGAUGAACGCUAGCUACAGGCUUAACACAUGCAAGUCGAGGGGCAGCAUGGUCUUAGCUUGCUAAGGCCGAUGGCGACCGGCGCACGGGUGAGUAACACGUAUCCAACCUGCCGUCUACUCUUGGACAGCCUUCUGAAAGGAAGAUUAAUACAAGAUGGCAUCAUGAGUCCGCAUGUUCACAUGAUUAAAGGUAUUCCGGUAGACGAUGGGGAUGCGUUCCAUUAGAUAGUAGGCGGGGUAACGGCCCACCUAGUCUUCGAUGGAUAGGGGUUCUGAGAGGAAGGUCCCCCACAUUGGAACUGAGACACGGUCCAAACUCCUACGGGAGGCAGCAGUGAGGAAUAUUGGUCAAUGGGCGAGAGCCUGAACCAGCCAAGUAGCGUGAAGGAUGACUGCCCUAUGGGUUGUAAACUUCUUUUAUAAAGGAAUAAAGUCGGGUAUGGAUACCCGUUUGCAUGUACUUUAUGAAUAAGGAUCGGCUAACUCCGUGCCAGCAGCCGCGGUAAUACGGAGGAUCCGAGCGUUAUCCGGAUUUAUUGGGUUUAAAGGGAGCGUAGAUGGAUGUUUAAGUCAGUUGUGAAAGUUUGCGGCUCAACCGUAAAAUUGCAGUUGAUACUGGAUAUCUUGAGUGCAGUUGAGGCAGGCGGAAUUCGUGGUGUAGCGGUGAAAUGCUUAGAUAUCACGAAGAACUCCGAUUGCGAAGGCAGCCUGCUAAGCUGCAACUGACAUUGAGGCUCGAAAGUGUGGGUAUCAAACAGGAUUAGAUACCCUGGUAGUCCACACGGUAAACGAUGAAUACUCGCUGUUUGCGAUAUACUGCAAGCGGCCAAGCGAAAGCGUUAAGUAUUCCACCUGGGGAGUACGCCGGCAACGGUGAAACUCAAAGGAAUUGACGGGGGCCCGCACAAGCGGAGGAACAUGUGGUUUAAUUCGAUGAUACGCGAGGAACCUUACCCGGGCUUAAAUUGCAGAUGAAUUACGGUGAAAGCCGUAAGCCGCAAGGCAUCUGUGAAGGUGCUGCAUGGUUGUCGUCAGCUCGUGCCGUGAGGUGUCGGCUUAAGUGCCAUAACGAGCGCAACCCUUGUUGUCAGUUACUAACAGGUUCCGCUGAGGACUCUGACAAGACUGCCAUCGUAAGAUGUGAGGAAGGUGGGGAUGACGUCAAAUCAGCACGGCCCUUACGUCCGGGGCUACACACGUGUUACAAUGGGGGGUACAGAGGGCCGCUACCACGCGAGUGGAUGCCAAUCCCCAAAACCUCUCUCAGUUCGGACUGGAGUCUGCAACCCGACUCCACGAAGCUGGAUUCGCUAGUAAUCGCGCAUCAGCCACGGCGCGGUGAAUACGUUCCCGGGCCUUGUACACACCGCCCGUCAAGCCAUGGGAG